CACGAUUUUGCUGCUCAUUCUGGACUGCCGACUUGUGUGGACAUCGCCAAAGGAUUGGAAUACUGCAAGGACACUGUAAUGGAGACUAAAGAAUACAAGAAGUGCUUGGAUGUUUGCAAACCUCCUUGUCAUGAAAUAUCUUACGAUGUGGCUCUCGCCAGUAUCCGUGAAUUACAGUCGCGAUCCAAGGACGAUAAACACAGGUUUGCAAUCACGUUGAAGUUUGCAUCGGCAUCCGUGGAGGUCAUGGAGCAUCAUCCCAUGAUAUCGGUAA